ACGGGAGGCAGCAGUGGGGAAUAUUGGACGAUGGGGGGAACCCUGAUCCAGCGACGCCGCGUGAGUGAAGAAGUAUUUCGGUAUGUAAAGCUCUUUAAGCAGGGAAGAAAAUGACGGUACCUGCAGAAUAAGCCCCGGCUAACUACGUGCCAGCAGCCGCGGUAAUACGUAGGGGGCAAGCGUUAUCCGGAUUUAUUGGGUUUAAAGGGUGCGUAGGCGGACGCGUAAGUCAGCGGUGAAAUAUCCCGGCUCAACCGGGAGGCUGCCGUUGAUACUGCGCGACUAGAGUCCGAACGGCGCCGGCGGAAUAUGUAAUGUAGCGGUGAAAUGCAUAGAUAUUACAUAGAACACCGAUCGCGAAGGCAGCUGGCGAGGACGGCACUGACGCUGAGGCACGAAGGCGUGGGGAGCAAACAGGAUUAGAUACCCUGGUA
rnacentral:rRNA from 1 species